AUCCCUGAAAGUUUAUAGGAAAGAGAUGAAAACAUAAGUACUGCAGGAAAAGAGUAAGCACCAGGCUACAUUAUUCUUACCGUUCACAAUAAGAAAAUACAUUUCUAGACAUUUUUUUUUACCUCUUGACAGAAGAAGCUGAACUCUAAAACCUAGUAAAUGUUUUUCUUUAAAUGACAGAAUAAGAACAGCUAAAGCUGGGAGGCCUGGUGGUGGCGCACAUGUUACUAUGUGCAAGGGCCCAGGUUCGAUUCCCCAGCCCCCACCUGCAGGGGAAAGUUUCACAAGUGGUGAAGCAGUGCUGCAGUUGUCUCUCACCCUCUCUAUCCCUCCCUUCUCCCUCGAUUUCUGAAUGUCUCUAGCCAAUAAAGAUUUUUAAAAAUUA